rnacentral:rRNA from 1 species
GACGAACGCUGGCGGCGUGCCUAAUACAUGCAAGUAGAACGCUGAAGAGAGGAGCUUACUCUUCUUGGAUGAGUUGCGAACGGGUGAGUAACGCGUAGGUAACCUGCCUUGUAGCGGGGGAUAACUAUUGGAAACGAUAGCUAAUACCGCAUAACAAUGGAUGACACAUGUCAUUUAUUUGAAGGGGGCAAUUGCUCCACUACAAGAUGGACCUGCGUUGUAUUAGCUAGUAGGUGAGGUAAUGGCUCACCUGGGCGACGAUACAUAGCCGACCUGAGAGGGUGAUCGGCCACACUGGGACUGAGACACGGCCCAGACUCCUACGGGAGGCAGCAGUAGGGAAUCUUCGGCAAUGGGGGCAACCCUGACCGAGCAACGCCGCGUGAGUGAAGAAGGUUUUCGGAUCGUAAAGCUCUGUUGUAAGUCAAGAACGGGUGUGAGAGUGGAAAGUUCACACUGUGACGGUAGCUUACCAGAAAGGGACGGCUAACUACGUG